UAAAUCUUAGUUUAAAUAGAAUGAUCGAUUGUUACUCGAUGGGAAGGUUUAAAUACCUAGGUUUAG
rnacentral:tRNA from 1 species